CUGUUUGGUGCCUGUUCUUUUUGGUAUUAAAGGGAACGAAGGAGCAGCCAAAAAUUCAACUAAUAAGAAAGACAUUGUUGAUAUUGAGGUUGAUAAAGGGGAAAGAAAAACAGUCAUUAAAAAAGGAAUGAUGAGAAGGUGGAGUUGGGCACCAAAAUGUGAUCAGAUUACGAAGUAUAUAUACGAAUAUAUACUUGGAAUGUUAUAAGUAAAAGGAAGAAAGGGAAUGGCUCCUAAUACGGAUCAGAGGACAGGUAGAGAAUGCAAUCUAGAGGGAUUACUGGGCAUAAAGAGAGACAGGAAACGAGGCCCACAGAGCUCUGUGUCCAGUGCAGUAAUGAAAACAAAACCUUUGCUGCAUACUGCGCUACAGCAGGUGGCGGUAUGCACCUCAAAAAAUUGCAAUCAGCCAUUGAACGAAGAAGGCGAAGAAGCAGCAGCAGGCGCAGCAGCAGAAGAAGAAGAAGCUGCUGCUGCUGAUGUGAAAGAUGAGAGAUUUCUUCUUGCAGAUGCACCAGCAGUUCAGUGAUGUGUGAGCUGAGCUGUUAACGUCCUUCUUUUCCCUCAUGUCUCCUGUCGCGAUGCUGCUGUCAUCAUCGUCUCUCUGAACGUGUCCCUUCAGUUCCGGUCAACCCGGGACAUUCCUUCGGCACUCUUCGACAACACUCAGCAUUUUUAACUGCUGUAAUAAAAUGUUGAAACAAGUUGCUCCGGUCUCUGGAAUCAGUCAUUCCAAAUUUUGCAUUUGUCUAAAUUUUUUCAGUGUUAGACACAGCCUUUAAUUUUGUACAGGUUUUUUGCCCAAUAAAAAAAUGGAAAUGGAA